AAAUGAAUUGACGGGGACCCGCACAACCAGUGGAGCAUGUGGUUUAAUUCGAGACGAACCGAAGAACCUUACCCAGAUUUGACAUUUUACCGUUUAGGUAUCUGGAGACAGAAACUGAUCUUGCAAUUUGUAAGAUGGUAAAACAGGUGUUGCAUGGCUAUCGUCAGCUCGUGCCGUGGGGUGUUCCCUUAAGUGGGGUAACGAGCGCAACCCUCGCCGUAUGUUGAAUAUUCAUACGGGACUACUGAUCUUUGUAUCAGAGGAAGCGGGGAUGAUGCUAAGUCAGCAUGGCCCUUAUAUCUGGGGCUACACACAUGCUACAAUGGGGCCGACAAUGGGUUGCCAAGCCGUAAGGCGGAGCUAAUCCCAUCAAACGGCCUCUCAGUGGGGAUUGAGGGCUGCAAUUUGCCCUCAUGAACGUGGAAUUGGUAGUAAUCGGAGGUCAGCUAAACUCCGGUGAAUACGUUCUCGGGUCUUGUACACACCGCCCGU
rnacentral:rRNA from 1 species